rnacentral:misc_RNA from 1 species
GGUGCAUUCUUGCAUGUGCUUCAGACAUGCGUAUCAUUGACUCUAUGUGCCUAACUGCAAUGGGAACUCCUUGCCCGUGAGAAGAUUCCCUUCGUAAUUCUGCAUAGACAUGUGUUAACUUAUCCAAAUCAGCAUCAUGCAACCUUGGGAAAACAUUUAACUUAGAGUAAGUUAUGUAUUUCCGCAGCAGAUCUUGGGGGAGCACCUCCGGAUCCAGUGGCCUUGCAGAGUCUUGACUGUCCUCCUGAGAUUCAUUUAUAGACUUGUCAUCAAGAUUGGCUCCCUUUGGCUGUGAUUUGAAAUGACUAUCAACCACAAAC